rnacentral:ncRNA from 1 species
AUUACCCUACCAUGCCGGGAUAUAAAUGCAUGGGGCAUCACAACCGUUGAGCGGCAACGGAUAUACAAAUUAAAGCGGUAUCAUGGUGCAUGACACGGAGGUA